CACGUAGGGUGCAAGCGUUGUCCGGAAUUAUUGGGCGUAAAGAGCGUGUAGGCGGUCCGGUAAGUCAGCUGUGAAAGUCAAGGGCUCAACCCUUGAAUGCCGGUUGAUACUGUCGGGCUAGAGUCCGGAAGAGGCGAGUGGAAUUCCCGGUGUAGCGGUGAAAUGCGCAGAUAUCAGGAGGAACACCGGUGGCGAAGGCGGGAUCCUGGGCCAGUACUGACGCUGAGGAGCGAAAGCGUGGGGAGCAAACAGG
rnacentral:rRNA from 1 species